ensembl:lncRNA
CCUACGAAACCGCUAUUAAGCCUCUUUGUUUAAUUCCAACUGCACUUAAACAAAUCAUUAUCUAUGAAUAAGAGUAGUUCACUCUUAAAAGCUACAGUUUACGAGCUAUAGGAGCGCAGGAAAUUAAGUAAACUAGCACAUUCGGUUAAUACCCAAUGGGCCAUGCAAAGCAUUCUGAGCCCCCCAACUUGGUGCUUUUGAAAUAGGCAACUAAUCACUUGUGCAUGGGCCCAGCACAUGAAAAUUUAUCUUUUUAUCUGCUUUGUUUACAGCUGCCAGAUUCGGCGACCCUUUGAAAUGUGCAGCGGUGUUCCAGAGCUUCAGUCAUCUCCAAAGUUCUCAAUUAAAACCCACUGCUCACAAGCUGAGAGGAAUGAAGAGGAAUGCUCAAUGUGGAACAUCUGCAAACAUCACAUCAGAGAGGCUCAAAACCCCCACCUCAAAAUGCCUGCUGAUUUAUGAGACCAGGCAAAGAAGAGAAACAGCCGUGUCACUGCUAUACGAUCAACAAAACGACCCAAACCAGCAUGGUGACGCCCACUGAAACAUCCAGUAGGUAUGUGCUACUGAGCAUGUGAGUGCUUUAUGUAUUUGCCAUUAUUGCUGGUGGUUGCUAGGGUGCU